AGGUCUGUAAGUGUUGCGGCAGCACGCGUCUGUGGUAUGGACGAAGACCGGGUUCAAUUCCCGGACGGACCUU
rnacentral:tRNA from 1 species